GGGGCGGUGCCGCAGCUCUCGAGGGGGAGGGGUUCCCCGCGGGAUCCGCGGGGGCCGCCUCCCCACACCCGCGUAAGAACCAUCUUAAUUACAGAAGAUAUUCCUCUUGGACGGUGCUGCUCUAGGCACGGCCCUCUCUAACGCAGCCAGCCUGGCAGGGCACCUUGCUAAGCCCCACCUGACCCCACGCAGCUGGAGCCGAGACUCCGCACUGCUGGCGUCUGACAGCUGGGCAGCAGAUGUGCCGGGAGCACCUUACUGGAGCAGGUGUUCUCCCAGGGGCUGGACUAGGCAGCAAAUAGGACAGAUGGCGCUGCCCUCCCAGAGUUGCGUGCCAGAGGAGGCAAUAAGAUAAUGUGGGUUUUGUCAUUCCUGUGAUUCAAAUAAAAUGAGGCAAAGUGGCAGA